GUCUGCCCCAGACUCUGAGCUUGCAGACUUCUCUCCUCAUGGUGUCACAAAACUUCUUCGUUGAUCUCCUGUAUUCCCCCCAAAAUGGAACCUAAAGCCUUAAUAAGAUUCAAGUUAAACAUUUUGGGGAUGAUUACCUUAGAAGUGACAUGGUGUGCCUCGUGUUGCAUCACCUGGAGAGGUAUGUGGUGUGUGAUUGUCCUGGAUUUGUACAGUUUUAAUUCCAUCAGUUCUGAGUCUAUGUGGCUUGGAUUCUGAGAAGGAACAUUCUAUUGACUGUACUAUCAAGGCAGAGGGAACUGAAGACUCAGAUGAGAACAUCAUCAUACUGUGGAAUUUCUAAUAGUAGAGAAGAGGUUUCACCAUGUUGGCCAGGAUGGUCUCCAUCUCUUGACCUCGUGAUCCACCCACCUCGGCCUCCCAAAGUGUUGGGAUCACAGGCGUGAGCCACGGCGCCCGGCUGAAAUUUCCAAGGAAACUAUAUUUCAUACAUUGAUGGAAAUGUAUGGAAAGCAUACAGUUGGACCGAGAAACUAAUUCUCAGUGAAAAUUAUUUGACUGAAUUACCUAAGGAUUCAUUUGAAGGCCUGCUAUCCCUCCAGUAUUUAUUCAUCCUGCAAUAAAAUACGGUAUAUUGAAAGACAAACAUUUGAAUCACUACCAUUUUUGCAGUAUACAAAUCUGGGCUGCAAUUUAAUUACAGAACUGAGCCUUGGAACAUUUCAGGCCUGGCACGGAAUGCAGUUUUUACACAACUUGUGAAUUCACAGAAAAGGCAUCAGAGGAAGAUAAAAGACCCAUCAGUAUCAGGAGCCUGAGCC
rnacentral:lncRNA from 10 species